rnacentral:rRNA from 1 species
UACGAAGGGGGCUAGCGUUGUUCGGAGUUACUGGGCGUAAAGGGCGCGUAGGCGGCGCACCAAGUCAGGCGUGAAAGCCCUGGCUCAACCCGGGAAUUGCGCUUGAGACUGGUGUGCUUGAGUACGGGAGAGGAUAGUGGAAUUCCCAGUGAGAGGUGAAAUUCGUAGAGUAUUGGGAAGAACACCGGUGGCGAAGGCGGCUAUCUGGACCGUAACUGGACGCUGAGGCGCGAAAGCGUGGGAGC